UGGGGAAUUUUGGACAAUGGACGAAAGCCUGAUCCAGCAAUGCCGCGUGUGUGAAGAAGGCCUUCGGGUUGUAAAGCACUUUUGUCCGGAAAGAAAUCCUUGGCUCUAAUACAGUCGGGGGAUGACGGUACCGGAAGAAUAAGCACCGGCUAACUACGUGCCAGCAGCCGCGGUAAUACGUAGGGUGCAAGCGUUAAUCGGAAUUACUGGGCGUAAAGCGUGCGCAGGCGGUUUGCUAAGACCGAUGUGAAAUCCCCGGGCUCAACCUGGGAACUGCAUUGGUGACUGGCAGGCUAGAGUAUGGCAGAGGGGGGUAGAAUUCCACGUGUAGCAGUGAAAUGCGUAGAGAUGUGGAGGAAUACCGAUGCGAAGGCAGCCCCCUGGGCCAAUACUGACGCUCAUGCACGAAAGCGUGGGGAGCAAACAGGAUUAGAUACCCUGGUAGUCCACGCCCUAAAACGAUGUCAACUAGUUGUUGGGGAUUCAUUUCCUUAGUAACGUAGCUAACGCGUGAAGUUGACCGCCUGGGGAGUACGGUCGCAAGAUU
rnacentral:rRNA from 1 species